CGGGGAGCCUUGCUGCCACGUUUAGUGGGAUUGCAGCUCCCUGUGUCACUUCCGACCUGGAUUCCAAGUCCUGAGUCGUUGGCUUGCAGGAACUUAAUUUUCAAGGCAGGCAGUGUUAUUAGCAGGGCGUGCCUAUUUAGCCUUAGUGAUUAACGAGUUCAGCCCCGCCAAGUCUGUUUCCUGGUGCCGUCGCUAUUGCAUUUCUGGUCAUCCCUUGUCUCCUCAGUGCUCCCUGUCAUUGAUGGCUUUGUGGACUUGAAUGCUCGGCACGUGUUUCCUAGCUAUGGCUGGUAGCCUAAGCUGGUUUUCCCUAUGUCAUCGUAGUUUGCUGCCUAGAGAGAUGAACUUAGCAGCUCUAUAACCUGUCAACUCGAAUUUCUUCCACCUACAACGAGAUCUUGGGUUUUACUUUAGAAGUGUAUUGUUCAUAACUAUGUUUUCUGAUGAAGACUCUUGGACGUUAUUCACACACCAGCUGGAAAGGGGGCUUAAUCUGCAUUACCCACAGUGGAACAUCAACCAAAACUUUAUUGGUGCUUGCAAGUAUAUGUCUCAAUAUGAAGCUAUCUCAUGGCUUAACAGGUGUGCAGCUAGGAUGCGUGCCUAUCUCUGUCUAGACCUUAUAUGAUACCAAGAGAAUGAUUCUCCAGUUGUACUCUGAUCCUGAACCUUCUUAUAGAUCUUGAAUUAGACCUGACGAGAUGGCAGUACCUCGUCAAGAUUUGCACGGCAUGUUGCAGCUGUGGACUCAAUGGCCACUUUGAGUCCAAGAAUGGGUGCUGUCAAAGGGAGAUUGCACUUGAAAUGACUCUAAGGACAGGGACUGCAUGUUCACUGAAGGUCACUCUGCAGUGAAAGUAAUUCCUUGCAACAGGACAUAGUUAGGGUCUGAGGAGCUGGAUCAGUUCUAAUGAAUUAAGAUCAGUGUUGCUGAAAGAGAUCUGUGAUAGGCCAGUGGUAUACUGACAGCUUACCUGUGGGAAUAAACAGCCUAAGGGUGUUUGCAUGGUGACACCUUGUACUCAUGGAAGCAUGACAUUGCUGUAGCAUCACCUUCCAGAAAAGAGCACAGUUGGGACAUACUCGUUCAUAGGAAGUAAAGUACUUACUGCUGGUUUGCAAGGAGCAGUAUAACAAGGUCUCAUUUGGAAACUUCAAUUCAGCUCAAGAAAAUCCAGUAAUUUUUCUCAGUGAGAUGAUCUGUGAAGAUCAUGCUUGUAAAGAACUGUGAAGGCAAGCAGCUAGGCUCCCUUUAUUGAAUGUGCUAAGAGCAUGAAAUAUAUCUCUUAUAUUUACAGCUAUAGAAAUAAAGUUAUAUUCUAGAAAUAUAACCUAGAUUGUUAUCAUAGUAAUAAAGUAGGUCUGUGAGUUAUUUGCAGUCUGCAAUUUUUCCUGGUCAGAUUUGUAGUUGGCCUCAAGUAAUUUCUUUGUGUUGUUUGGGAAGUUGAAUUCCCUUCCCCCUCUGUAGCUUGGUGGCUGAGUACAAAUACAACUGCUUCAAUGUUUUAAGAGCAUCAAGUGACUAUUUUUUUCCAGGCUAGAAGACAUAAUGCUGAAAAGUUCCACUGACUAAAUGUCUGUUCUCUCAAACAGACAUUAGAAAGCGUGUUUGUAAUUUCAGACUCUGUUUUGUUAGAUAUAUACAAAUGCAGAACUAAAACCAAACAAAAAUCCAUUCCCUAUAGAGAAUAAGUGUACAAUCUGUACGGAAAACUGUUUCCAAGCAAUACAUGCACUAAAUCGUAUUCCUAAGUUUUCUUUUUAAUAUCAUUUUACUCCAGUAGCUCUAAUUAGCAAAGGCAAUAAUAAAUACCUGAAGCAUUUUUCUUUGCAUUGGAAAUGUGAAAGAUAAACAGCAGCAAGAGGUCUCAGCUCCAAAAAGGAUACCUGUGAUGGUGGGCACCAUACUGCUGUAGAAUAAAGAUGACCUCCAGAGAAAAUUGUUUAAGGCUUAAAUACAUGAUGGAAUACAGUGGGCAUGCGAGCAGCCCUGUUUGACUGAAGGCAGUUGUAUAAAGACUAAUGUAUGGUACAGUAGAUAUUAGUGAGAAGGAUUCUAUUUUAAGCUUUCUUUAAAUUAAUCAUAAUAGAAUCGCGGGUUUAAAUGAGACUUCCUUUUAAAGGUAUAUUAAAAAAACACAACCCAACUCUACAGAAAGCAUUGUAAAAAGUUAUAUAGACUUCAGUGGAAAAUAACUGACUAUGUGCAUUAUAUGUUUUGGUUGUGGAUCCCAACCAUUGUGUUAGCAUUCAAAACUGCAAUUGUAACUGUCAUGAAAC